AGGCUGGAGGGAAAGCGGAUCUGGACCCAGGCAGGCGGGAAGGCUCCUCUCAAGAAUAAGCUUCUCUUAACAGGUUCCGGCUGCUGAGGCCCAUGUUAAAGGAGAGGGAGAAAUGGGGAACUAGUCCCAUCAGGCCUUUCCCAUAGGCCCGUGUACAGGCCCUCAUUCACCCAGCAGUGUUACCCUUCUGGGGAAUCCUGUUAAGUCCUGUUGCUAUUCUUUAGGGGAGCAGGAGUCCUCCCAAGGAAGGCACUUCUGGCAAAAUCUAAGUAUGUCCAUAUGGCGGCAUCAGCACAAUGCUCAUUUCCAUCUAUUCUCUUAUGCAUUUCAGUGAACGAGGGGUCAGACAUGGUGCCUCAAUCAUUUCACCUUCAGGUAUGUGGCAAAAUCAGUGUAUGUCCCCAGGUCAUGUUUUGAUAUCAUCCUUCAAACAUUAGAAAGCAAGAACUUCUAGGGUUCCAAUGAAAUCUAAGCCAUAAAACAUGGGAUCUCCUUUCCUUUUUUGAAUCCAAUCUGACUAAGACCAUCAUAAAAGGAUGGUAAUUAAUGAUGCCUUGACUUAUAAUUCCAAUUAGUAGAUAUUGGGUACCUUAGCUUUGAAUUUUUGAACAGGUGGUACCAAGAAAUGGAUCAGGACUUUCAGUCCAUUUUAUUACACAGCAUAUUGAUAGGUGAAUGCAUUUUUCAAAUACCUUCCACAGUGAUUGUUACUACGUUGGUAAGAGUAUUAUGUUCUCACUGUGCCAGGAAUUAUUCAUGCUCCAGGCUUGCAUAGAUGUGGCUCAGAAUUGUCCAGUCUGCAGGGCCCGGAGUGCAGUGAAAUCACUAAGUUACCUUGUGAGGGUCAAAAGGGAGACACACACUCACAGUGUUCAAGUGGACUAAUGUAUAUAUCAGUAGGUUAAACUCAGAUACCGUUCUUUUUGUUAGGAUUAGUGAACUUACCUGAAAUGCAGGCAACAGGCCACAUGAGGCAAUACGACAAUGUGCAACUGGACAGGCCUUCCCCUCUUGGCAUAUAUGCACAUGCUCAGCAUUAUUGGAUAAACACUCACCACAUAUAAGUGCCAUGAAAUUUCAAACACAUGAAUGUCAUCCCAAGAUAUAAAGCCUCCAUACUUCCUGUGAUAAGGUAGUGUAAGAGAACUGGUGAAGGCAUCCCAUGCUUGUGGUGCUUGGGCACUAAGAAACUUAAUUUAUACAUCCUGAAAUGGUGAGUACCUAGUGAUGUCACAGGGGAAUAGGAUAGCUCAGUGCUGAACAGAUGAGAUGUCUUGAACCUAGUGAGACACAGUGAAUGAUCAAUGAUAAAAUGUUUCACCAGACAUAUAAUAUGCCCUUACCAUGGUCUGUCAGCACAAACAUUGAAAGCUGGCAGUGAGGAUGAGUAUGAAACCAGUGAUGGGUUAUUCACAAGAUAAUGGCAUUUGCAAUUUAUCAUUAUCUACCCCGAAGCACUGAUUACCAAUGCACACAAACAUCAAAUUGAAGUUAUUGGGAAUUCCAAACCUGAGCAUUGAGAUUAUGCUGACACUGACGUGUUAAUUUGGGUCCAUAAAUUUUCUUCACUGAGAUUACUGAUUCUGGUUGAUUCCCUCAACACUCUAAUGCCCGCUGACCAUUUGUGUGAUGAUUGAUGAGACGUACCUUCUGAAUAGAUGGUCUUUGUCAUCCUGGGAAGUAGCACUGUUUGUGUCCCACUAAAAUGUCUAGCUGUGCCUUCUGAGGACACGGGUCUAUGAGGUGAAACCUACGUCCUGAAGACAGGUGAUGACAUAAAAAUCAUGCUCAGGUUCCGGCUGCUGAGGCCCAGGUUAAAGGACAUAAAACAUGGAUUCUCCCUUCAUUUUUGGAAUCCAAUGUGACUAAGACCAUGAUAAACGGAUGUUAAAUAAAGAUGCUUUGACUUUAUAAUUCCAAUUAGUCGAUAUUGGGUAACUAAUCGGAAUUUUCAAACAGGUGGCAGCAAGAAAUGGAUCAGGACUUUGGGUCCAUUUUAAUUACACAGCAUAUUGACAGGUGAAUGUAUAUUUCAAAUACAUUCCUCAUUUAUUGUUACUACCUUGGCAAACGUUUUAUGUUCUCACUGUGCCAGGAAUUAUUCAUGCUCCAGUCUUGCAUAGAUGUUUCUCAGGAUUGUCCAGUCUGCAGGCCCAGGAGUGCAGGGAGAUUACUAGGUUAAAUUUCUGAGGGUCUAAGCAGAUAUACACAGUCACAGUGUUCUGGUGAACCAAGGUACACAUCAGUAAGUAAACUCAGAUACCAUUUAUUUUUGUUAGCAUUAGUGAACUUGUCCUGUUAUGCAGGCAACAGGCCAUAUGAGGCAAUACGACAAUGUGCAACUGGACAGGCCUUCCCCUCUUGGCAUAUAAGCACAGGCUCGGCAUUAUUGGAUACACAUUCACCACAUGUAUGUGCCGUGAAAUUUCAAACACAUGAAUGUCACCCCAGCUAUAAAGCCUCCAUCCUUCCUGUGAUAAUGUAGGGUAAGAGUAUUGGUGGAGGCAUCCCAUGCUUGUGGUGUUUGGGCCCUUAAGAAACUUGAGGUUAUGUAUCUAACAAUGGUGAGUACCUAGUGAUGUCACAGGGAAAUAGGAUAGCUCAGUGCUGAGCUGAAUCGAUUUCUUGAACCUAGUGAGACACAGUGAAUGAUCAAUGUUAAAAGGUUAUCAACAUACCUAUAAUAUGCCCUUCCCAUAGUCUGUCACCACAAGCAUUGAAUGCUGGCACUGAGGAUGAGGAUGAAACCAGUGAUGGGUUAAUCUUGGCUAGGUGUGGAAAAAGAUAACUGCAUUUGCAAUUUAUCAAUAACUAACCUGAAGCCCUGAUUAUCAAUGCACACAAUCAUCACGUUGUAGUUAUUGGGAAUUCCAAACCUGAGAAUUGCGAUUGCGCUGACACUGACUUGUAAAUUUGGAUCCAUAAAUUUUCUUCACUGAGAUUACUGAUUCUGGUUGAUACCCUCAGGACGCUAAAGCCGCUUACCAUUUGUGUGAAGAUUGAUGAGACAUACCUUCUGAAUAGAUGGUCUUUGUCAUCCUGUGAACUAGGAUUCAGACUUGGUGCCUCAAUCAUUUCACCUUGAGGACUCUAAUGUCCGCUGACCAUUUGUGUGAAGAUUGAUGAGACAUACAUUCUCAAUAGAUGGUCUUUGUCAUCCUGGACGCUAAUGCCCGCUGAACAUUUGUGUGAAGAUUGCUGAGACAUACUUUCUGAAUAGAUUGUCUUUGUCAUCCUGUGAACGAGGGGUCAGACAUGGUGCCUCACUCAUUUCACCUUCAGGUCUCUAAUGCCCGCUGACUAUUUGUGUGAAGAUAUCCGAGACAUACCUUCUGAAUAGAUGGUCUUUGUCAUCCUCUGAAAGAGGAUGCAGCCUUGGUGCCUCAAUCACUUCCCUUUUCAGGUACGUGGCAAUAUUAGUGUAUGUACCUAGGUCUCAGUUUGAUAUCCUCCUUCAAACAUUAAAAAGCAAGACCUUGUAAGAUUCCAAUGAAAUCUAAGCCAUAAAACUUGGGUUAACCCUUCCUUUUUGCAAUCCAAUCUGACUAAGACCAUGGUAAAAGGAUGGUAAUUAAAGAUGCCUUGCCUUCAUAAUUAUAAUUAGGAGAUAUUGGGUAACUGGUCUGUGAAUUUUCGAACAAGUGGGAUCAAGAAAUUGAUCAGGACUUUCAGUCCAUUUUAAUUACACAGCAUAUUGAUAGGUGAAUGUAUUUUUCAAAUACCUUCCAUAUCAAUUGUUACUCACUUGGCAAGAGUUUUAUGUCCUCACUAUGCAAGGAAUUAUUCAUGCUCCAAUCUUGCAGAGAUGUUGCUCAGGAGUGCCCAGUCUGGAGGCCCAGGAUUGCAUUGAAAUCACUAGGUUACAUUUCUGAGGGUCAAAAGGGAGACACACACUCACAGUGUUCUUUUGGACUAAUGUACACAUCAGUAAGUUAAACUCAGAUACCAUUUCUUUUGGUUAGGGUUAGUGGACUUGUACUGAUAUGCAGGCAACAGGCCACAUGAGGCAAUACGACACUGUGCAACUGGACAGGCCUUCCCCUAUUGGCAUAUAUAAACAGGCUCAGCAUUUUUGGAUACCCACUGACCACAUAUAAGUAGCAUGAAAUUUCAAACACAUGAAUGUCAUCCCAAGCUAUAAAGCCUCCAUUCUUCCUGGGAUAAGGUAGUUUAAGAGAACUGGUGAAGGCAUCCCAUGCUUUUGAUGCUUGGGCACUUAAGAAACUUGAAGUUUUAUAUCCUACAAUGGUAAGUACCCAGUGAUGUCAGAGGGAAAUAGGAUAGCUCAGUGCAGAGCAGAUGAGAUGUGUUGAACCUAGGGAGACAUAGUGAAUGAUCAGAUUGGUAAAAUGUUUUCACCAGGCCUAUAAUAUGCCCUUCCCAUGGUCUCUCAGCUCAAGCAUUGAAUGCUGCCAAUGAGGAUGUGGAUGAAACCAGUGAUGGGUUAAUCUUGGCUACUUGUGGCAAAAGAUAACUGCAAUUGCAAUUUAUCAUUAUCUAACCCGAAGCACUGAUUAUCAAUGCACACAAUCCUUACAAUAUAGAUAUUGGGAAUUCCAAAUCUGAGCAUUGAGAUUGUGCUGACACUGACCUGUGAAUUUGGAACAAUAAAAUGUUCUUCACUGUGACAACUGAUUCUGCUUGAUACCCUCAAGAGUCUAAUGCCCGAUGACCAUUUGUGCGAAGCCAGCCGAGACAUACCUUCUGAAUAGAUGGUCUUUUGUCAUCCUUGUAAGUAGCACUGAAUGUGUGCCAAUACCAGGAAUAGCUAUGCCUUCUGAGGAAACGGGUCCAUGAUGACAUGACUACGUCAUGAAGAGAGGUGAUGACAAAAAUAUCAUGCUCUGGUUCCAGCUGCUGAGGCCAGGGUUAAAGGACAGGGGAUAAAUGAGGGACUAAUGCAAUCUGGCCUUUCCCAUUAGCCCGUGCAAAGGCCUCAUUCACCCAGCAGUGUUUCCCUUCUGGGGAAUCGUGUAAAGUCCAUGUGCUCUUCUCUAGGAGAGCAUGAGUCCUGCCAAGGAAAUCACUUUUUUGGCAAAACCUAAGUAUGUCCAGCCCAUAGGCCUCAGCACACUUCUCAUUUCCAUCUAUUCUCUUCUGCAUUUCAGUGAACGAUAAUGCAGUCUUAGUUGCUCCAUCAUUUCACCACAGGUGUUGGAAAUAUCAGCUUAAGUACCUAGGUCCCCUUUAGAUAACCUCCUUCAAACAUUACAAAAGAAGACCUUUUAAUCCCAUGAAAACUAAGCCAUAAACCUUGGGUUCUCCAUUCCAAUUUGGAAUUCAAUCUGAUUAAGACCAAGAUAAAAGGAUGGUACUUAAAGAUGUCUUGACUUUUAGAAUAACAAUUAGUAGACAUUGGUUAACUGAGCUGUGAAUUUCUGAACAGGUGGGAUCAAGAAGUUGAUCAGGACAUUCAGUCCAUUGUAAUUACGCAGAACAUGGAUAGGAGAAUGUAUUUUAUAAAUACAUUCAAUACUGAUUGUUACUGCCUUGGCAAGAGCUUUAUGUUCUCACUGUGCCAGGAAAUAUUCAUGGUCCAGUCUUGCAUAGAUGUUGCUCAGGAGUGUCCAGUCUACAGGCUCAGGAGUGCUGUGAGAUUACUAUGUUACCUUUCUGAGGGUCAAAAGGGAGACAGAGACUCACAGUGUUCUAGUGGACUAAUGUACACAUCAGCAAGUUAAACCAGAGACCAUUUUUUGUUGGGAUUAUUGAAUUUGUUCUGAUAUGCAGGCAACAGACCACAAAAGGCAUUUCCACAAUGUGCAACUAGACAUGCAUAACCCUCUUGGCAUAGAUGCACAGGCUCAGCAUUAUGUGGAUACACACUCACCACACAUAAGUGGCAUAAAAUUUAAAACACAUGAUGUCAUCCCAAGGUAUAAAGGCCUCCAUCCUUCCUGUGACAAGGCAGUGUAAGAGAACAGGUGAAGGGAUCCUAUGCAUGUGGUGCUUUGGCAUUAAAGAAACUUGAGGUUAUACAUCCAACAAUGAUGAAUACUCAGUGAUGUCAGAGUGAAAUAGGAUAGCUCUGUGUAGAGCAGAUGAGGUAUCUUGAACCUAGUGAGACACAGUGAAUGAUUAGAUGGUAAAUAUUUUAAACAUGCCUUAAUAUGCCCUUCCCUUGGUCUGUCUACUCAUGCAUUGAAUGCUGGCAGUUACAAUGACUAGGAUGUCAGUGAUUUUUUAAUCUUGGCUAGGUGUGGCAAUAGGUAACUGAAUUUGCAAUUUAUCAUUAUGUACCCCUAAGCACUGAUUAUAAAUGCACACAAUCAUCACAAUGUAGAUAUUGGGCAUACCAAACAUGAGCAUUGCGAUUGUGCUGACACUCACUUACAAAUUUGGAACCAUAAAAUUUUCUUCACUCCCCAGACUCCAGAUCUUCUCUCCCAGUAACGAGGCCAGGAAACUAGAGGAGGUUGGGAGUCCACAGAAGCAGCUGUUCCUGCAACAGCAUCAGGAUUCAAAUGUCCGCUGACCAUUUGUGUGAAGCUUGCCGAGACCUACCUUCAGGAUAGAUUGUCUGCGUCAUCCUCGUAAGCAGCACUGUUUGUGUCCCACUAGCAGGUAUAGCUAUGCCUUCUGAGGACAUGGAUCUAUGAUGACUAACCAACGUCAUGAAGUAGGUAAUGACAAAAAUAUCAUGCUGAGGUUGGGGCUGCUGAGGCCCAGGCUAAAGACAGGGGUGAAAUGGGGGACUAGUCCCAUCAGGCCUUUCUCAUAGGCCAGUGCACAGGCCCUCAUUCACCAAGCACAGUUUCCAUUCUGGGGAAUCCUGUUAAGUCCAGGUUCCCUUCUCUAGGGGAGCAUGAGUCCUGCCAAGGAAGGCUCUUUUUUGGAAAAAUCUAAGUAUGUGCAGCUGGCCAGCAUGAGCACACUGCUCAUUUCCAUCUAUUCUCUUAUGCAUUUCAGUAAACGAGGAUGCAGUCUUGGUUUCUCAAGCAUUUCACCUUCAGGUACCUGAAAAUAUCAGCUUAAGUACCUACUUCUCCUUUGGAUAUCCUCCUACAAACAUUAGAAAAAAGACCAUCUAGGAUUCCAAUGAAUUCUAAGCAAUAAAACUUGGGUACUCCAUUCCAUUUUGGAAUCCAAUCUGACUAAGACCAUGAUAAAAGAAUGGGAAUUAAAGGUGACUUGACUGUAUAAUUCCAAUUAGUAGAUAUUGGGUAACUGAGCUGUCAAUUUUUGAACAGCAGGGACACAAGAAAUGCAUCAGGACUUUCAGUUCAUUGUAAUUACACAGCACAUAAAUAGGUGAAUGUAUUUUUCAACUACCUUCCAUACUGAUUGUUACUGCCUUGGCAAGAUCUUUAUGUUCUCACUGUGCCAUGAUGUAUUCAUGUACCAGUCUUGCAUAAACGUUGCUCAGGAGUGUCCAAUCUGCAGGCCCAGAUGAGCAGUGACGUCAAUAUGUUACCUUUCUGAGGGUCAAAAGGGAGACAGAGACUCACAGUGUUCUAGAGGACGAAUGUACACAUCAGUAAGUUAAACUCAUAAACCAUUUCUUUUUGUUAAGAUUAGUGAACUUGUCCUGAUAUGCAAGCAACAGACCACAUGAGGAAUAUAGACAAUGAGCAACUGGACAUGCAUAACCCUCUUGGCAUAGACACACAGGCUCAGUAUUAUGUGGAUACCCACCCACCACACAUAAGUGUCAUAAAAAUUAAAUUACAUGAAAGUCAUCGCAAGCUAUAAAGGCUUCCAUCAUUCCUGUGAUAAGGUAGGGAAAGAGAGCAGGUGAAGGCAUCCAAUGCAUGUGGUGAUUGGGCAGUUAAUAAACUUGUGGUCAUACAUCCUACAAUGGUGAGUACUCAGUGAUGUCACAGGGAAAUAGGAUAGCUCUGUGCAGAGCAGAUGAGAAAUCUUGAAGUUAGUGAGCAACAGUGAAUGAUCAGAUGGUAACAUAGUUUCAUCAGGCCUAUAAUAUGCCCUUCCCAUGGUCUGUCAGCUCAUGCAUUGAAUGCGGACAGUGAGAAUGAAGAUGAAACCAGUGAUGGGUUAAUGUUGGUUAGGUGUGGCACAUGGUAACUGCAUUUGCCAUUUAUCAUUUCCUACCCCUAAGCACUGAUUAUCAAUUCACCCAAUCAUCACAAUGUAUAUAUUGGGCAUUUCAAACCUGAGCAUUGCAAUGCCAUAAACAUUACUUACAAAUUUGGAAAAAUAAAAUUUUCCUUGACUGAGACUACUGAUUCUGCUUGAUAUACUGCAGGAGUCUAAUACCCGCUGACCAUUUCUGUGAAGAUGCCGAGACUUACCUUCUGAAUAGAUGAUAUUUGUCAUCCUGUGAACGAGGAUGCAGUCUUGGUUUCUCAAUCAUUUCACCUUCAGGAGUCUAAUGCCCGCUGACCAUUUGUGUGAAGCUUGCCGAGACCUACCUUCAAGAUAGAUGGUCUUCGUCAUCCUGUGAACGAGGAUGCAGACAUGGUGCCUUAAUCAUUUCACCUUCAGGAGUCUAAUGCCCGCUGACUAUUUGUGUGAAGUUUGCCGAGACCUACUUCUAGACUGAUGGUCUUUGUCAUCCUGUGAACGAGGAUGCAGAAUUAGUGACUCAAUUAUUUCACCUUCAGGUACGUGGAAAUAUCAGCUUAAGUACCAAGUUCUCCAUUGAAUAUCCUACUUCAAACAUUAGAAAACUAGACCUUCUAGGAAUGCAGUGAAAUUUAAGCCAGAAAACUUGCGACCUCCCUUUCUUUUUGGAAUCCAAUCUGAAUAAGACCAUGAUAAAAAGAUGGUAAUUAAAGAUGCCUUGUCUUUUAGAAUUCCAGUUAGUAGAUAUUGGUAACUGAGCUCUGAAUUUUUGAACAGGUGGGACACAAGAAAUUGAUCAGGGCUUUCAGUCCAUUGUAAUUACACAGCUCAUUGAUAGGUUAAUGUAUUCUUCAAAUACCUUCCCUAAUUAUUGUUACUGCGUUUCCAAGACCUUCAUGUUCUCACUCUGAUGUAUUCAUGCUCCAAUCUCGCAUAGAAUGUGCUAGGAGUGUCCACUGUGCAGUCCCUUUCUUUUGGCAAUCCCUUAAGCCUCUUCCCAUGAGAAGAUGGUAAUUCAUACUGUUUUUUAUUGUAGAAUUCCAAAUCAUAGGUCUGGGAAACAUAGCUGUGACUGUUCUGGGAAAUGGGACACCUAGAUUGGGUCAGAUGUGCAGGUCCUGUGCCAUGCUCAGUGAUGGGUAAAUGUUACCUUUAAAUUCCUUGCUUUGGGUGUCUAUCAAGCACCCAUUCUGAUUGUUAUUGCUGGGGCAAAAACUUCAUAUUCUCGCAGUGUCAGGAGUGUGACAUACUCCAAACUUCCAAAUAUGGCACUCAUGCAUGUCCACUAUGCAGUCCCUCAACUACAGGGAACAGAAACACACAAACCACAAGGCCUGCUUUGGAAACAGUUCUGAUAUUACUGUUGACAUUACUUGUUUCAUCAAUAUCCAUUACCUGAUGGCACUUGGAUACACACUGCAUGAUUCUAUAUAGUUCACAUUGUUACUUGACAAAAUAAAAAUUCCAUACUGCAUUGUUAGACACAGGACAAUUCGUGCUUCUUUUAGGGAGAUGAAGGUGAAAAUAUAGGGGAGAUCAGAAUGAGGAGAAUGACAAAUGUAGAAAAAUCUCAUAAUGAAUAUAUUAUCAUGAAAUCCAAAUGCUGGAAUGUCUCUUAAAAUUAAUAAGAAGACCAUCUUUGCCAGAUUUUAUGUGUUUUUAAAAAUAUUUUAUCAACUUUAAAAGCUCUGUGGUUUUUCUCAUUUUUAUCAUUAAAGCUGCAAUUUUGAAAUUCAUAAGUUUUCGUCUCAAAUGUUUUAAGAGGCAGAAGACCAUAUGUUCAUUCUGAUUGUGGUUCAGUAACUCUGGUCAGAAUAUGAGCAACUAGAAAACUGACCAUCCAUUUCAAAGUCAAAGAGACUAGCUAUUCCAGCUUUCCUGUACCAUUGGAAAGAGACCGGGGAUAAGAGAGGGGUUUUCUUUAUCUAUGAUGACAAUAAGUCUCUGAGGAUGGUGAGCAACUCAUACAAAUGACAAUUUGAGGGCCAGGUGGGAUGUUCCCUAAACAACAGUGAUGUUUCCAGAAUAUGGAUACUACUGCUCCCCUUUUCAGGAUGACAGAAAAUAAUGCAUACUGCUUUAUCUCCCAUAUUUUGAGGGAAAACAAUUUUCAUGUGACUAUCAUGUAGUAUCAUAUGAUGAAUCACUUUCUGUUACACUAUACAAGUACAUACAUUCACCCUUGUUUUUAUUUCAUUGAUUUACCGAGGGUUUGAGAGAAUGAAUUCAAAGAUGAGGAAUCAGUGAUUUCAUCACUGAGCAUUACCGGGGCACAGCAUUGUGACAUUCCUAUAUUGGGGAAAGGAGAAGAAGGAUUGUAGUAUUCCCUGCCACCAUUACCAAGAAUUUCAGAGGCUGCAGUACCUUCAUCCUGUCCCCAAUUACCAGCAAUGGAAGAUAAGUUAUUUUGUGUUAGAAUUAUUACUUUUCUGUUCAAUUAACUAAACACAUCUGGAGGGUCAUAGUCAUGUACCAUCCAGACACCAAAUCAAGCCAUGUCCUCCGACUGAGCAGAAAGCACCAAUAUACUAAAAUCAUGUCAACAUAUGGAGAAUAUUGUAUUUUUCUGAUGAUGAGCUCCACGUCAGAAUAGUAGCCUUUGACACCCAACUUGGAAAGAAUGCUUCUGAUUCCAAGAGAACUGAUUCUGUUUUAAUCCAUGAAGGAGAAUUAAGCAAACUGACAAUUUGUCUGAAUUUCCCAAAAUCUUACCCUCUAAACUAUCUUUGCCAUGAGUUAAGUUGAACUUUUUAUGUACCAAUUUCAGGUACAUAUAUGCAUUCUGAGAACAUGGGUCUAUAAUGACAAACCAAGGUUACACAGAGAGGUGAUGAAAUAAAAAUCAUUCUAAAUGAUAGGAAAGAAAUAGGGGCCUAGUCUCCUCUGACCUUUCUCAUAGUCCAAUACACAGGCCCUCAUUACCUUAACAGUGUUUCCUUGUCUGGGGAAUCCUGUGAGGUCAAGUUGCACUUCCUCAGUAGAGCACUGAGCUUUGUGUCAUAAGCCCCUUGUUGUAACACUCUACACAUGUCUAGGUUUCCAGUAACAAGCAAGAAACACAUGUCCCAUCUUAUCUGCUGACUUUCAGUGAUCCUGGUUGUCAUCUUGGUGCCACAGAGAUGAGACUUUCAGAGAAGUGGAAAGAAAUGCCCACGGUCCAGGCUCUCUCUGGGUCCUGUGACUUCACCUACUAAUACAGCUGACCUUCUGAGUCAUUUAAUAACAUUUGCAGUACAGCAUUCAUGUGCUACCUUCCUAUUGGAAAAAACCAGUACCUAAGCCCCAGAUUCCAGGAUGGACACUGGCAGCAUGACCAGAUCAGAUGCCUUCUGUCCCUUGGAAUUAAGGAAUUUUUCCUGUCACCCAAAUAUGCAAAAUAUUAGGCAAAGCAAGAGGGUGCAUCAUGUGAUGCACAUGCAUUGCACCCUCAAAUACACAGACUCAAUAUCAUCUGGAGACCAGCUCAUCACACAUCAGGUGCAUGGUAUAUAUAUAUAAAGGAUUCCCUGGCUUUUAUUAUAAUGAAUGACCAUAAAACUUGAACAAGAAUCCUAAGAAGAAGGUCCUUGGGAAAUAAAUACCCUUCAGGUUAAGCAUUCUGCUCUGGUGAGUUGAAGUAAUUUUCAGAUGCUAAUGUGUUAGUGCUAUGCAAUAAACAGCAGAUGGCAGUCUUGGACCUUGUCAGGAACAUGGCAAAGAUCAGAACCUGAAAUAAUUUCAGUAGCUGUGUAUCGUGUUUUCCCAAUAUUACAUGGUCUGAUUCUAGGAAUGAAGGCACAGAAGGCAAGGUUGAAUCAACUAAACGAUUAAAUUUACCUUGGGGCAGCCGACAGGUAGCCACCACUAAAAGUUUUCAUUUCCUCAACUGUCCCAUUGAUUGGAAAUUGACCCUAAUUAUUCUGCUAGAGUUAAUGGUGUGAUCAGACACCUGAAUGUUUGCAUUUCAGGUAUUUUACCACAUGUGUAUUUAAUGAAGAAAACAUAGCACUCACACAUAAUACAGUUUGCAAAUAGAUACAACUCUGACUUGUACGAAGCACUACACUCAGAUUCAUGCAUCUGCAGAACACUCCCAUGGCAAACAGAGAGACAGGUAGUUGCAAACAGGCCUUAUAAUUGGAAGCAGACACACUCAGUUUCUCAAGUGUAACACCUAUGAAACGCAAACCCUAUAUUCAGAAUCAUUGAGAUCCAUCCAAAUGAAGAUCAAACAAAAUUUUUAAAUUUCUCUGAGAUACUAAGAAAGGAAGUCUUUAGGAGUGUUGACAUGUGUUGAAUGGAUACCUGUACCUAAAAAAUGUUUAAAGAAAAGGAAACUGAAUAAAGAAACUGGUCCUAGCAUAGUGGCUAAAUACACAGUUCUCAAACAGAAACCAUCAAUUAAAUUCAAGGUUGCAGUGUGCUCCUCAAGUUCUUUUAGAAAAUGCCUUUCUUUCAGAGAAAAGAAGUUUACCAUCUCAUUUACAAGUGCAGCUGCCAGAUAUUCUGGAAAAUAUCUAUGUUUGGAAGGGGAUCUGAAAUACCAUUUUCCUGAAUUGCACUAUGUUUUGAUUCGUGCAAUGUUGAUCACAUUUAUUCCAUUUCAGCCCACUGGCAUUCAAGUUCACAUAGCAUGGAAUUGUUUUGUCAAGUCACCGAAAAGGUCACCAAAUAUUCCUUAUUAUUCUAUUGUUUUUUAAUGUGAAGACCCCAGUUGUGGGAAAAUCAUUUUGUAAAAUCUCCUUUAACCACCUCAAUCUCAUUUUUUCUUCUAUUAGGUAAAUUAGACAUCUUAUAUCUAAAUGCUUCUAAUGUUUUCCUACUUCAUUCAUCUUAAAACUCGGUUACUCAGAAGCCCAUUUUCCCCAUCUGUUGCUACUCCACAAUUGUGAGAAAUACAAGGGGUACCAUUCACUAUGAAUCGCCACUGAGAUUGGAGAACACAAAUUAUUACUAAACUUUUCUCAUUUAUCUGGCUGUACCUCUGACAAUGUAAUCUCAGAGUUUUCACUAUAUGAUAUCUUUGCCUGUUUUUUAUGGGAAAGCAUUCAAAACUAAUAUUCAAGCCAUGUGUAAACAUGUUACUGCACUUUUUCACAAAACUAGAGCAUAGGGUUAACCUCAGGAGGCACAUGACAAGACUUUUUAGUGAUAAAUAAUGUAAAAAAUGAAGUUUUCUAUUUAGGGAGACUUACAAUUGAACUUUUGGAAAUUUAGAGGAGUAUAAAUAAUGGUAGUUAUCAUAGAAAGACCUCAUUCAGACAGAAACAGACACACCAAAAGCCUGCACUUAAAAUGCUUCUGAUAUAACUGUAGGCACUACUUAUCAUGUACACACUGAGGAAGUGAUGGCAUUUGAAUACACACUGCAUGAUUCUAAAAGGUUUUGACUGUUACCUGACAAAAUAGAAAAUCCGUAUUGGAUUGUGAAUCACAGCACAUAUUCGUUGAUUAUGUGUGGAGAUGAGGAUGAAAUCAUAGGGGAGAUCAGGAAGAGGAGGAAGAAAAAUGUAGUAAGCAUAUCAUGGUAAAUAUAUUUUCAUAAAAUCCAAAAAAUGGAAUGCCCCUUAAAAUUUAUAGAGGAUGACCUUUGUCAUUUUUGAUGUGUUCUUUUUCUUAGUAAUUUAUCCACUUCAGUUCACAAAUUGAGCCCAUCAAAAGCUCAGUGAAAUUUUCCCUUUUUAAUAAUUAAUUCUGGCAUAUUGAACAUUGAUAACUUUUCAAUGUGUAUAUGGUUUAUGAGGAAGGAGACCAUUCUAUAUGUGGUUCAGUAAGUCAGAUCAGAAGCUGAGCAACAAGCCAGCUGCACAGUCCUUACCAUCCAUUUCAAAGUCAAUGUGAGUAGCUAUUCCUGCAGCAUUGGAGAGACUCAUGUGUUAAGAGAGGGCUUGCCUGAGUCAUUGAUGAGAACAAGUCUCUGAAGGCAGUGAUUGACUCAUACAAAUGUCAAUAUGAGGUUCAGAUAACUGGUCACCUUGACAACAGUGAUGUUUCCAAAUAUGACUACUACUUUUCUGUUUUGAAGGAUGACAAUUUAUUGUAAAGAUAAACACCACACUUGAUGAGGGUAUAAGUAAUGUUUUUUGUGGCAAGCACAUACAAUAGAACACUGGUAACCAAGGUAAAUAUGGGAUUUGAUGUAUCGUAUACAUAUAUUAGAUGAGUUCUAUAUCUGAUGUUUUCCUCGAAUUGGAGAACAAUGGGGUUAAUUUUGUUCCAUCAUAAACAAAUUCUGCAACCUCAAUGUGUAAGAUAACUCUCAUUAUAUUGAGAAUAUACAACUAAAUUGAGAGGCUGUGUAAAGUUUUUAAAUACAAUGAGAAUGAUGUAUAGCUCUGCCCUAUAUACAGAACUGUAUGGACAUUGAACUACUUUACUUAUAUUUUGUGGUUUAUUAUUUGCCUUACUUGAUUUUUUGCAUCAGUGUAGAAUGAAAGAACUCCAAAAAUAGGCAUUUUCUCAACAUAUGCAGAAGAAUCCAAAAAGUUUAUUUAUGAAACUGAUACUCUCUGUUUUGGUAUUAUUGUUACU